GUCAAAUGUCACCCAAAAGCAUGCACAGGAUAGUGGGAUAUCACAAGUAGCGAAGGAUACAUCUGUGCUGUUUAAACCUGCCUUGUUUUAAAAUGAAGGUAUCUCUGGAGACAGGAUGUGACACAGUCAUCUGAUUCGGACAUGCCUUGUUUUCCUUCUUUCUCUGUAAAUGCUGCCUGUGGAAUUGAGAAUAAUAGUAUUAAAAUGAACGAAAAUUCAAAGAAAUUUUUGUCAUUUUUUAUUACAAAAGCCCUGGAUAGAUAGAUAGAUAGAUAGAUAGAUAGAUAGAUAGAUAGAUAGAUAGAUAGAAGAUAAGAUAGAUAGAUAGAUAGAUAGAUAGAUAGAUAGAUAGAUAGAUAGAGGUUAAAUUGAAUUUACAUUCAAAAAGGCAUAUUAAUAUUUCACAGUGGUUUAGUCAAUUCAGCACAUAUUGCUUGGAUUUUAGAAUGUAAAACUUCGAAGCAAAUAUGCUAGUGGUUUGACUUUCUCCAAGAACAACAGCCCUUGCCUGCCUAAUUAAAAUUUAUCACAGUUAUUAUUAGUGUGCAAAAGAGGGACAGCACAGGGCAAUUUUGCCUCCUGACUUAGAAAGACCCAGCCAUGAGACUUAAAGAUCCGAUCUGCUUCACUCCCUGCACACUAAUGAACAUUUUAAUCAGUGCAUGCUUAUUAAAAUGUAUUUCACCUUCCGAUCUAUCGCAAUUCACAAAACUAGUGCUACAUCAUUAUAGAUUAAUUGUUCUCUAUGUUAUUCCAGUGACCCAUUUUAUAUGUAAUUUGAAUGGUACAUUCAAUAUUCAGGGAUUUAAUGUUCGAUUAACCGUAACAUGAAUUAUAUGGAACAGUAGUUCCAAAAUUCUGGUCUUAUUUUUUUUUUUUUUAUCUAUUUAUUUUAGCCUCUUACAAAGUGUACUAUUGUAAUAGUUUUUUCUUCCUGGCUGGUCUGCUAAUUUACCAGUUUCAUAAGUAAUAUGUAUAUACAAGAUUGCAUAAUCCUUAGGUUCAAUAAUCACACUACUGAAAAUUGGACAUCUCUCUCUAUUCUACAGUUCUCCUGUAAAACCCUGAGAAAAACACAUCUCAUAUUUCCAUCAAAUUGUAAAUAUGGAUAAAUACACAAACUUGAAAACUGCAAUUGUGUUUAACUUAUAAAUUUAUUUGUAAUGUAUCGCAAUUCACAAAACUAGUGCUACAUCAUUAUAGAUUAAUUGUUCUCUAUGUUAUUCCAGUGACCCAUUUUAUAUGUAAUUUGAAUGGUACAUUCAAUAUUCAGGGAUUUAAUGUUCGAUUAACCGUAACAUGAAUUAUAUGGAACAGUAGUUCCAAAAUUCUGGCUUAUUUUUUUUUUUUUUUUUAUCAUUAUUUUUAGCCUUCUUACCAAAAGUGUACUAUUGUUAAUAGUUUUUUUUCUUCCUGGCUGGCUGGCUAUUUUUUUUUUUUUAUUCAUUAUUUUAGCCUCUUACAAAAGUGUACUAUUGUAAUAGUUUUUUUCUUCCUGGCUGGUCUGCUAAAUUUAACCAGUUUCAUAAGUAAUAUGUAUAUACAAGAUUGCAUAAAUCCUUAGGUUCAAUAAAUCACACUACUGAACAAAAUUAGAAAAACAAACAAAUAAAUCAAUGAAAAAUCCACAAGAAUGCAAAAAGAAAGCAAUGAUUAUUUCCACUGCAGAGCAUUAUGGUAAAAUGUCCAAUACAUUAAUUUACACAUUGCUAAACAAAAGAGUCCUUGGUGCUUCUUGAAUUACAGAUGCCAGGUCUUACAUCAACAUUAAAUGGUCAUUUUUGUUAAAGAUUACAGUUGGUAUUAAAAUGGCUGAUGCAGACAGGGGUCUUUUUGUGUGUAAGAUCAUGCUGUGGUUUAGAUUUACGUGACUAAAUAAUUACUAUCUGCCCUUUUGUACAGAAAAUCACUGUUAAGCAAACCAUUAACAGAAAUUCAGUUGGAAGCCCAAACUCGAAAUGACUAGGUUUUACAUAAAUUCCGCUUUAAUUCUGUCAUACUUCAUGAACUGCUACUUCAAACACACCCUCGGUAAAGAAUACAAUUGCAAAACACCUUAACUGUUACUCUGACACUGUGUACAUGCAUCAUCAUGCCGACUUUUCAACAUCAAUACAUGUUUCUUCAUCAGAAUAAUAAUCACUUAUUACUCAAACUGAAAUGGUCAACUGAAAAGGCAUGGCAGAGUAGUUUUUUUUAAUUAUUCUGUAAAAAGUGUGUGACGGGCCUCUCGUGCAUUGAGAAAUACAGAUUAAAAUAUCUCAAGGCACUAAAAUUCGUCUCAUUUCCUAAACUGAAAUUUGUUCAGUCAAAAAUACUUUCAAUGUGUUAUUAUUAAAGGCACAAAUUUGUUCCGAAGAGAGUUGAUCCUUACAAGACUUAACAAUAUUAUCAAGCAGAAUGACUGAUUGGAAAUCAGACAUUUAAGUGCAAGCCUGUUUUUCUUUUUUUAAUUAUUUUAUAAAUGUUUUUUUUUCUUUUCUUAUUUAUUACUAUAACAGGCAAACGUAACUAGGCCAAAAAGUGAGGUUUAAGGCUAGGAAAUGUAGAUACUUGAACAGUUUUCAUAAAUGUAACCCACUGUCUGUCUCAGCCAUUUCAACUAGCAUGAACAAGGGACCCAUUUUACAUCACAAUCAAAUAUGUUCUACACAGCCAUGGUAGACAACAUCUGACAACACAAUAAUAGACUUCAAGAUUUAUAAAAAUAAAAAUAAAAAUAAAAACAAAAGUUAGAAGAUUUCUUAUUCCAUAUCUAAAUUCUUCAGAUCCCAACUAAACAGACAGAAAAACAAACACCAGUCAAAUGGAAACUAAAGAAAGCACCUUACGGGCCGAGUACUCUUUUAAAUUCCUGACAGCAUACAAGUAGUGCACAACAACUAAUGUUUCAAAACUGAUUUUUAGAAUUUUACGAACAAGUACUAGUAGUAUAAAAAGAAAUAAUAUAUACUUCAAAUAAGCACUAAUCCAUAUGGCCACAUAAGAAUAUUAACACAAAUAUUCAUUCAUUACUAAGACAUUCCUUCAAUUCAAUACUAUGUUUUUGUUUUCACUGAGAAAUUGUAACACAAUCUUUGUAUUCAGUUUAUAAAGAAUUGUGAUUCAUUUAGGUAUUUUUUUUUUUUUUUUUGAAUGACACAUAGUUUAUGUAAAUAAGGUACUAGUAAUUCAUUAGGAUUUUUUUUUUUGUAAUGCACAUAUUAUGUAAAUAAGGUACUAGAUUUGGUCAUAUUCCUAACUAUUUCUCAGAAUGUUAUAAUGAAAAUGCAGUUAUAACAUCGAAGAGAGAACAAAGAAUAGUAAAGGUCUUUGGUAGAAACUACAAAAAUGGGCAUUCAGUCCAUUAAUAUCGUCAGCAAAAGCAGUUGGCAUAAUUGUCCCGUCAAAUGAAACAUUGAAAAACUGACAUAGUAAUUGUACACCACUUCAGUUGAACUUUGAAACAAGUAUAAACUACAAUACCACUUUGGUUCAUUUGAGUAAAGUCCACAUUUGAUUUUGAUUUGACCGCACUCUUCGCUUGAGAAAUAAAUGUCAUGUGAAAUCCCAAACAUUUCUACCGCAUUUUAUAGUUCAACAAAACCCUACGUUAUGGACCAAUGACCAAACAAUGGAACCAAUCCCUCAACAAACUCUUGAACACUUGAGUGCUGGAAACGUCACAAUAUCCCGAGCUGCUUUGAUCCGUUUCAACCUAUCUAUGUCGCCCAUCGUACGGAAAAGAACACGUCUUUGCUAAUUAGACUAGAAAAGAUAAGCACAAAGUCAAUGCGUUUAAAGCAUUGCACAAAAAUAUUUCCGAAUACUCGACUGUGAUGCCUGACCAACAACUGGAUACGUCUGCUCAACACAAACACAUUUGGCAGUGUGAUCCAGAGCUUCAGCUGGUUAACAAAAGUUACACACUGACACACAAAUCAGUCAAGAACAUCAGCUACAUACAGACCUUGUGGAUUAAGAUACAAACACAAGAAAGAAAGCAGAGAGAAAUCAGAUAUAUACACACACAGACACACACUGUCUUCGCCUUGUGAAGCUGAAAUAAAAUACGAGGGUCUGGACAGUUAGAUCCUCAGUAACCAUCCCUUUUGAAGUAAACGGUUUAUCCCGAUUUCGAAAGACAAAAAGAACUUGCACCUUUGCGUACCUGAUUUACCGCACAAACUCAUUGCUGUAAAUACGAAAGGAACAAGAAAAAAAAAAGUUUACAGAUAACACAGUAGCAGGUCAUUUCAAUUAGAUUACCUAAGCACAUUACACUGUCGAAUUUGGAUACGAAAAACACCAAUGAUUUCUGUCUGUAAACACUACAGAGCUCUACAAUUCUACACAUUUCAAUAAACAGAAAUGUACUAAGCCAGUUUCGUUUUUGCAAUCGAAGAAACACACGCAUUUCCUGAUUUGAAUAUCCCUACACAUUUAAAUCAAGGAUGAUUCAACAUUUCUAAGGAUAAUGAAGCUGCACCCAAAAAGCACCAUCGUUAUUGAAGGAAAAGGAUCGAUUCUUCAGCUGAACCUCAGACCAGGGUGAAGUCUCUCGGAAAUACUUUAGUACUGAAUUGGGCCGCUAAACGCUGCGAUAAUACGGUACUACUGAAAAAAUACAUACUUUGCAGAAGCUAUGGGGUUUCUACUACAAUCCUAAACUCUUCACAGAUGCUUCAAAUGUUUUUAAGGCAAGGCACUUAAGAGGGAGUGGCCAGGAAUCAGAUAUAUGUUCUAACAUAUCUGAAAGGCUGAAGUCCAAAAAAAUAAAAAAUAAAUAAAAAAUACUGUGUCGCUGAGGACUUCAGAACACAUGUGCUCAUCUAACAACUACAUAAUGUAUAUCUAAAUACUCACUAUAAGACGGAGAAAUCCAUUUACUAAAUGCCUUAGCAUACAGUAUGUGCCUUACUGAUAUUACAGCUGCUGGUUAUGCCUAAAACGCAUUCAAAGUUUGCACUUAUUUGAUUGAAAAAUUUAAGUAACAAUGAAAGUAAUAAUAACU
rnacentral:lncRNA from 1 species